AUGAGUGACUUAAUUCACACAGACAAGGGAAUAAAACAUGAAUUAACUAAGACAGUGAAGUCCAACAGUGAUAGCAAAACAAUCCUUCCUCAUGUCCUCAUUUCCCAAGCAGUUUCAUCAUCAAAACGAUGAGUAGUUCUCACAGCUGGGAUCCUGUGCUGCCAUGUGCUGUCACAAACAUGUUUCUCUGAAAGUUUUAAAACAACACUUCAGGCUUGCUUAUCCACUCUCACGCUAAAUUCCAAUAUGUAGGGGAAGAAAG
rnacentral:lncRNA from 1 species